CCAGUUGGCUGGGCAGCCGCGCUUUACCAAUGCCGAAAGGCGGUAGGGUGAGGAAAGUCCGGGCUCCACGGAAACACGGUGCCGGAUAACAUCCGGCGAGGGCGACCUCAGGGAAAGUGCCACAGAAAGCAAACCGCCUGUCAUGACAGGUAAGGGUGAAAGGGUGGGGUAAGAGCCCACCGCAUCUCCGGCAACGGAUAUGGCACGGUAAACCCCACCGGGAGCAAAACCGAAUAGGGAUGACGCGGUAGGCCGAAAGGCCUUCCAGCCUGUUUCUGGGUCAGUCAUCCGGGUGGGUUGCGUGAGGCAGCGUGCAAGCGCUGUCCCAGAUGAAUGGCUGCCACGUUCCGGUUCACGCCGGAGCCAUACAGAACCCGGCUUACAGGCCAACUGGCGAU
rnacentral:RNase_P_RNA from 1 species